rnacentral:rRNA from 1 species
AAACUUUCCACAACGGAUCUCUUGGUUCUGGCAUCCAUGAAAAACGCCACGAAAUGCGAUAAAUAAUGGGAAUUGCAGAAUUCAGUGAAUCCUCCAAUCCUUGAACGCACAUUGCGCCCCUUGGUAUUCCCAGGGGCAUGCCUGUUCCAGCGUCCUUU